GACGAACGCUCGCGGCGUGCUUAACACAUGCAAGUCGAACGGAAAGGCCCUGCUUUUGUGGGGUGCUCGAGUGGCGAACGGGUGUGUAACACGUGAGUAACCUGCCCUUGACUUUGGGAUAACUUCAGGAAACUGGGGCUAAUACCGGAUAGGAGCUCCUGCUGCAUGGUGGGGGUUGGAAAGUUUCGGCGGUUGGGGAUGGACUCGCGGCUUAUCAGCUUGUUGGUGGGGUAGUGGCUUACCAAGGCUUUGACGGGUAGCCGGCCUGAGAGGGUGACCGGCCACAUUGGGACUGAGAUACGGCCCAGACUCCUACGGGAGGCAGCAGUGGGGAAUAUUGCACAAUGGGCGGAAGCCUGAUGCAGCAACGCCGCGUGCGGGAUGACGGCCUUCGGGUUGUAAACCGCUUUCGCCUGUGACGAAGCGUGAGUGACGGUAAUGGGUAAAGAAGCACCGGCUAACUACGUG
rnacentral:rRNA from 1 species